AGAACAAGAACUUAUCGCCACUUUGUUGGCCGCAAACAAAGAACUUAAGAAGUAGAAGUAGCUAGAAGUUUUAAAAACAGAAGUAUGGCAGUUUAAAAAAAAAGUUCCUGAUUCUAACUCAUAUACCGCUCUUCAAACUUUGAAAUGGUCUCGGAUACGCAUAAAAUAGAUAUAUUUGAGGAGCGAAAUUGAAUGUCGUUAUAAAAAUAUUAGCAAGGAAACUAACCUGGGAUUUUUGAUACCGCUUUUAUUAUAAAAAUAGCGAUAAUGGGUGUAUUAACAAGGAUAGUACUAAUAAUAAGGACACUAA